GACGAACGCUGGCGGCGUGCUUAACACAUGCAAGUCGAACGGUGAAAGCGGAGCUUGCUCCGCUGGAUCAGUGGCGAACGGGUGAGUAACACGUGGGCAACCUGCCCCUCACUUCGGGAUAACUCCGGAGAACCGGGGCUAAUACCGGAUACGACCUCCUUGGGCAUCCUGGGAGGUGGAAAGUUUUUCGGUGAGGGAUGGGCCCGCGGCCUAUCAGCUUGUUGGGGAGGUAGUGGCUCACCAAGGCGACGACGGGUAGCCGGCCUGAGAGGGCGACCGGCCACACUGGGACUGAGACACGGCCCAGACUCCUACGGGAGGCAGCAGUGGGGAAUAUUGCGCAAUGGGCGAAAGCCUGACGCAGCAACGCCGCGUGCGGGAUGAAGGCCUUCGGGUUGUAAACCGCUUUCAGCAGGGAAGAAGCCGCAAGGUGACGGUACCUGCAGAAGAAGCACCGGCUAACUACGUGCCAGCCGCCGCAGUAA
rnacentral:rRNA from 1 species